rnacentral:rRNA from 1 species
GACGAACGCUGGCGGCGUGCUUAACACAUGCAAGUCGAACGAAGAGCGACGGAAGCUUGCUUCUAUCACUCUUAGUGGCGAACGGGUGAGUAACGCGUAAUCAACCUGCCUUUCAGAGGGGGACAACAGUUGGAAACGACUGCUAAUACCGCAUACGAUCUAAUCUCGGCAUCGAGGAUGGAUGAAAGGUGGCCUCUACAUGUAAGCUAUCACUGAAGGAGGGGAUUGCGUCUGAUUAGCUAGUUGGAGGGGUAACGGCCCACCAAGGCGAUGAUCAGUAGCCGGUCUGAGAGGAUGAACGGCCACAUUGGGACUGAGACACGGCCCAGACUCCUACGGGAGGCAGCAGUGGGGAAUCUUCCGCAAUGGACGAAAGUCUGACGGAGCAACGCCGCGUGAGUGAUGACGGCCUUCGGGUUGUAAAGCUCUGUUAAUCGGGACGAAAGGCCUUCUUGCGAAUAGUGAGAAGGAUUGACGGUACCGGAAUAGAAAGCCACGGCUAACUACGUG